UACGUAGGUGGCAAGCGUUGUCCGGAUUUACUGGGUGUAAAGGGCGUGCAGCCGGGCUGACAAGUCAGAUGUGAAAUCCCGCGGCUCAACCGCGGAACUGCAUUUGAAACUGUCAGUCUUGAGUACCGGAGAGGUCAUCGGAAUUCCUUGUGUAGCGGUGAAAUGCGUAGAUAUUAGGAGGAACACCAGUGGCGAAGGCGGCCUGCUGGACAGUAACUGACGUUGAGGCUCGAAAGCGUGGGGAGCAAACAGG
rnacentral:rRNA from 1 species